rnacentral:rRNA from 1 species
AUUGAACGCUGGCGGCAUGCUUUACACAUGCAAGUCGAACGGCAGCGCGGGCUUCGGCCUGGCGGCGAGUGGCGAACGGGUGAGUAAUGCAUCGGAACGUGCCCAGUAGUGGGGGAUAGCCCGGCGAAAGCCGGAUUAAUACCGCAUACGACCUGAGGGUGAAAGCGGGGGACCGAAAGGCCUCGCGCUAUUGGAGCGGCCGAUGUCGGAUUAGCUAGUUGGUGGGGUAAAGGCUUAACAAGGCGACGAUCCGUAGCUGGUCUGACAGGACGACCAGCCACACUGGGACUGAGACACGGCCCAGACUCCUACAGGAGGCAGCAGUGGGGAAUGUUGGACAAUGGGGGCAACCCUGAUCCAGCCAUGCCGCGUGCGGGAAGAAGGCCUUCGGGUUGUAAAGCGCUUUUGUUCGGGAAGAAGUCCUCUGGGCUAAUACCCCGGGGGGAUGACGGUACCGGAAGAAUAAGCACCGGCUAACUACGUG